AAUCUUACGAAGUAUUAAUGUAAGACAAUUUCUGCCCAAUGACGAAAUUUUAAUGGCCGCAGUACCCUGACUGUGCUAAGGUAGCAUAAUCAAUUGGCUUUUAAAUGAAGUCUAGAAUGAAAGGAUACUUGAAGUAGCGAUUGUCUUUAUUUUACUUUAUCAAAAUUAUUAAUUUAGGUGAAAAAACCUAAUAUAUCAAGAAAGACGAGAAGACCCUUAGAAUUUUAAAAAUUUUUCUAAUUUUUUUUUGUUGGGGUGACAUAUUAACAUUUUAAACUUUUUUAUAUACUGGAAUGAGACACAAGAAAGAAAAAAUUACCUUAGGGAUAACAGCAUAAUUUUAUUUUAAGAUUAUGACCUCGAUGUUGGACUAGGAACCUAAUAAUUAGUAAUUAAGUUGGUAAGUUCUGUUCGAACUAAAAUUUCCU
rnacentral:rRNA from 1 species